rnacentral:rRNA from 1 species
GGGUUGUGAGGUUAAGCGACUAAGCGUACACGGUGGAUGCCCUGGCAGUCAGAGGCGAUGAAGGACGUGCUAAUCUGCGAAAAGCGUCGGUAAGGUGAUAUGAACCGUUACAGCCGGCGAUGUCCGAAUGGGGAAACCCAGUGCAAUUCGUUGCACUAUCGUUUGAUGAAUACAUAGUCAAACGAGGCGAACCGGGGGAACUGAAACAUCUAAGUACCCCGAGGAAAAGAAAUCAACCGAGAUUCCCCCAGUAGCGGCGAGCGAACGGGGAGCAGCCCGGAGUCUGAAUCAGCUUGUGUGUUAGUGGAAGCGUCUGGAAAGUCGCAGGGUACAGGGUGAUACUCCCGUACACUAAAACACACAGGCUGUGAACUCGAAGAGUAGGGCGGGACACGUGGUAUCCUGUCUGAAUAUGGGGGGACCAUCCUCCAAGGCUAAAUACUCCUGACUGACCGAUAGUGAACCAGUACCGUGAGGGAAAGGCGAAAAGAACCCCGGCGAGGGGAGUGAAAAAGAACCUGAAACCGUGUACGUACAAGCAGUAGGAGCCCACUUGUUGGGUGACUGCGUACCUUUUGUAUAAUGGGUCAGCGACUUAUAUUCUGUAGCAAGGUUAACCGUAUAGGGGAGCCGCAGGGAAACCGAGUCUUAACUGGGCGUUAAGUUGCAGGGUAUAGACCCGAAACCCGGUGAUCUAGCCAUGGGCAGGUUGAAGGUUGGGUAACACUAACUGGAGGACCGAACCGACUAAUGUUGAAAAAUUAGCGGAUGACUUGUGGCUGGGGGUGAAAGGCCAAUCAAACCGGGAGAUAGCUGGUUCUCCCCGAAAGCUAUUUAGGUAGCGCCUCGUGAACUCAUCUUCGGGGGUAGAGCACUGUUUCGGCUAGGGGGUCAUCCCGACUUACCAACCCGAUGCAAACUACGAAUACCGAAGAAUGUUAUCACGGGAGACACACGGCGGGUGCUAACGUCCGUCGUGAAGAGGGAAACAACCCAGACCGCCAGCUAAGGUCCCAAAGUCAUGGUUAAGUGGGAAACGAUGUGGGAAGGCCCAGACAGCCAGGAUGUUGGCUUAGAAGCAGCCAUCAUUUAAAGAAAGCGUAAUAGCUCACUGGUCGAGUCGGCCUGCGCGGAAGAUGUAACGGGGCUAAACCAUGCACCGAAGCUGCGGCAGCGACGCUUAGGCGUUGUUGGGUAGGGGAGCGUUCUGUAAGCCGUUGAAGGUGGCCUGUGAGGGUUGCUGGAGGUAUCAGAAGUGCGAAUGCUGACAUAAGUAACGAUAAUGCGGGUGAAAAACCCGCACGCCGGAAGACCAAGGGUUCCUGUCCAACGUUAAUCGGGGCAGGGUGAGUCGACCCCUAAGGCGAGGCCGAAAGGCGUAGUCGAUGGGAAACAGGUUAAUAUUCCUGUACUUGGUGUUACUGCGAAGGGGGGACGGAGAAGGCUAUGUUGGCCGGGCGACGGUUGUCCCGGUUUAAGCGUGUAGGUGUGUGUUCCAGGUAAAUCCGGUUCACUUUAACACUGAGGCGUGAUGACGAGGCACUACGGUGCUGAAGUGACAAAUGCCCUGCUUCCAGGAAAAGCCUCUAAGCAUCAGGUAACAUCAAAUCGUACCCCAAACCGACACAGGUGGUCAGGUAGAGAAUACCAAGGCGCUUGAGAGAACUCGGGUGAAGGAACUAGGCAAAAUGGUGCCGUAACUUCGGGAGAAGGCACGCUGAUAUGUAGGUGAAGUGAUUUACUCAUGGAGCUGAAAUCAGUCGAAGAUACCAGCUGGCUGCAACUGUUUAUUAAAAACACAGCACUGUGCAAACACGAAAGUGGACGUAUACGGUGUGACGCCUGCCCGGUGCCGGAAGGUUAAUUGAUGGGGUUAUCCGUAAGGAGAAGCUCUUGAUCGAAGCCCCGGUAAACGGCGGCCGUAACUAUAACGGUCCUAAGGUAGCGAAAUUCCUUGUCGGGUAAGUUCCGACCUGCACGAAUGGCGUAAUGAUGGCCAGGCUGUCUCCACCCGAGACUCAGUGAAAUUGAACUCGCUGUGAAGAUGCAGUGUACCCGCGGCAAGACGGAAAGACCCCGUGAACCUUUACUAUAGCUUGACACUGAACACUGGUCCUUGAUGUGUAGGAUAGGUGGGAGGCUUUGAAGUGUGGACGCCAGUCUGCAUGGAGCCAUCCUUGAAAUACCACCCUUUAAUGGCUGGUGUUCUAACGUGGGCCCGUAAUCCGGGUUGCGGACAGUGUCUGGUGGGUAGUUUGACUGGGGCGGUCUCCUCCUAAAGAGUAACGGAGGAGCACGAAGGUCAGCUAAUCCUGGUCGGACAUCAGGAGGUUAGUGCAAUGGCAUAAGCUGGCUUGACUGCGAGCGUGACGGCGCGAGCAGGUGCGAAAGCAGGUCAUAGUGAUCCGGUGGUUCUGAAUGGAAGGGCCAUCGCUCAACGGAUAAAAGGUACUCCGGGGAUAACAGGCUGAUACCGCCCAAGAGUUCAUAUCGACGGCGGUGUUUGGCACCUCGAUGUCGGCUCAUCACAUCCUGGGGCUGAAGUAGGUCCCAAGGGUAUGGCUGUUCGCCAUUUAAAGUGGUACGCGAGCUGGGUUUAGAACGUCGUGAGACAGUUCGGUCCCUAUCUGCCGUGGGCGCUGGAGAAUUGAGGGGGGCUGCUCCUAGUACGAGAGGACCGGAGUGGACGCAUCACUGGUGUUCGGGUUGUCAUGCCAAUGGCAUUGCCCGGUAGCUAAAUGCGGAAGAGAUAAGUGCUGAAAGCAUCUAAGUACGAAACUUGCCCCGAGAUGAGUUCUCCCUGACUCCUUGAGAGUCCUGAAGGAACGUUGAAGACGACGACGUUGAUAGGCCGGGUGUGUAAGCGCAGCGAUGCGUUGAGCUAACCGGUACUAAUGAACCGUGAGGCUUAACCUUACAACGCCGAAG